rnacentral:rRNA from 1 species
AGCGAACGCUGGCGGCAGGCCUAACACAUGCAAGUCGAACGCCCCUUCGGGGGAGUGGCGGACGGGUGAGUAACGCGUGGGAAUGUGCCCUUUGGUACGGAACAACUGAGGGAAACUUCAGCUAAUACCGUAUGUGCCCUACGGGGGAAAGAUUUAUCGCCAUUGGAGCAGCCCGCGUUGGAUUAGGUAGUUGGUGGGGUAAUGGCCCACCAAGCCGACGAUCCAUAGCUGGUCUGAGAGGAUGAUCAGCCACACUGGGACUGAGACACGGCCCAGACUCCUACGGGAGGCAGCAGUGGGGAAUCUUGCGCAAUGGGCGAAAGCCUGACGCAGCCAUGCCGCGUGAAUAAUGAAGGUCUUAGGAUUGUAAAAUUCUUUCACCGGGGAAGAUAAUGACGGUACCCGGAGAAGAAGCCCCGGCUAACUUCGUG